rnacentral:rRNA from 1 species
GACGAACCGUCCAAACGUUAUUCGGAAUCACUGGGCUUAAAGGGUGCGUAGGCUGCCCGGUAAGUUGGGUGUGAAAGCCCUCGGCUCAACCGAGGAAUGGCGCCCAAAACUGUCGGGCUCGAGGAAGAUAGAGGGAAGUGGAAUUUCCGGUGUAGCGGUGAAAUGCGUAGAGAUCGGAAGGAACAUCAGUGGCGAAAGCGACUUCCUGGACCAAUACUGACGAUCAUGUGCGAAAGAGUGGGGAGCAAACAGG